CCCGCCCCAGCGCCUCCCCUGCACGUGCAUGCCCUCGUAUCCCGGCCCGCGGAACCACCCCUCGUGCUCCUCGUAGUGGAUGUACUCGUCCCAGGUGGCCGAGAACGGGGAGCCGUCGGGCGGCGGCGGCAGCGCCCCGACGAACGCCGCGAAGGCGAGGUCGUGGUUGCCGCAGAGGAAGACGUGGCGCUGCGCGGGGUGGCGCGUCGGGAGCGCGAGGAGGAAGUCGAGGACCCUGCGGGUGUCCGGGCCGCGGUCGUUGUAGUCGCCGAGGAAGAUGACCAGCGCGGUGGCGAAGGCGUCGGCGGGGAGCGCGGCCUCGAGGUUGGACCAGAGGCUCUCCAGCUUCGUGACGUAGCCGUGGACGUCGCCCACACAGAUCACGGUGCGGGGUGGGGGUGGUGCCGCGGAGGGAGCAGACAUCUCGGCCGGCGCGGCUGUUCGCCGGAGGCUUCACCGCAGACAAAGCGGGUAGCGAGCGGAGCGGCAGAGGAGCGAAGCCAUUAUCCUGUGAACUGUGAUGAAAAGGAGGCGCCUCCGGACUCUGGGCUCUGGCUGCCUUACAUUACUGGAGAACAAUACGCACCGUUCGAUCUUAGAGCCGCUUGAUCGACGCCGUCCAACUCGAUGCAGAGUGUCCCCAGUGCCCACCCCCUUCGGCGGCCCUCCCGCUUCCGUCUCGUUUGGACUUCGGACUCGGACGGCGCUCCUUGCGCCGUGCGCGACCGCCACGCCACGCCUCCAUCCGCCGCCGCCGCCGCGCUGGGUCUGGUCCGGGCUCCGUUUCCCCGGCCGACUUGGAUUUUCGCUGCUCCCGCUGCCGCGGCCGCGAGGAGUGAGACUGGAUAUCCUACUUGUACGACGGCACAUUCACCACACACACAGUACAGCUUACCGGCAGUCAAGGUGGCACCAAAACCCUUCUAGCAUUGGGUCAAUCUCAUCGGUUUCAUCAGUGCCUUCAAUCACUUCUGAGGGCUCAGCAGGCUUCUGCUCAGCUUCAACUUCUGAGAUUGCUUCAGCCGCUGCAGAGGUUGCUUGAGUUGUUGGUGCGUAUGCCUUCUCCUCCGCAACCAGCACCGUUCCAGUUCCAGGAGCACCAGCGCAGCUCAGAACGGUACCUGCAACAAAUUACAGAGCCAGCGCCGCUGAUAAGAACAGAGAAAACAGCACCACCAAAUAUGCAGGCUGCAACGACGACGAGAAACAAAACAAAAUGAGAAGAAGAAAACGAGAAAACCCAUUGGCCAGAAGAUGGAAACGAUUGCGGCAACGCAACAAAAUGCAGGUUCCUGUUUCAGGAACCGGGCGAGAGAGAGAGAGCCUUACGAGAGAAGAAGGCGUUCUUCCUCCUGAAAAACAGCGACGGCAAGUCCACCGCACUCCGCCGCUCCCCGCCAGAUAUUCGCGCCGAGCCGCCGGGCCGCACGACCCCGAGGAGCCUCGCGCCGGACACAGCGAACACCAUCCCGCGCGCACCCAGCUGCACAUCCGAGUCCGAGUCCAACCACCCGCACGGGCGGCCGCACGUACGCGAGCACGCGCGGCUCCUUCUUCACCCGCGCGCGCGCAGCCCACGGGAAAGGUCGAGGAGGAGCGCGGCGCGAGAUAAUGGUGGGAGCAACGUGUACGGCGGAGGACCGGAGGUGGAAGGCAGUGGCCAGGCGCGGGCCGCUGGCGCUGCAUGGGGAUGGGAGAGGGAAAAAGGCCAGCAGGGUGGGGGCCCCGCGGAAGCGCGUGUGGCGUCGUCUUCCCCGGGCGCCCGUGCCGGAGGUGGCAGAGGACGGAGACAGACAAGGGGGUUUUUCGUAACGGCCAAAAAAGCGCGAAAGCUCAAAAAACCGUUAGGAGUGUAGGCCUUGUUUAGGGCAACUCCAACAACAGCUUUGCUAUUUUUAUUAUGAAGGCCUUUUAAAACUUAUAUAGUAGAAAAAUAGGCUCCAACAGAUGUGCUAUUUGGUUUUGUAAAAUAGAAAGUUUGCUAUCCCUUGAUUUUCAUUGGCCAUAUAUAGCCAACCACUGACACUAGCUAUCUGAUAGCAAGGCUGUUGUAAACCUCUUCUUUUUUAAGAAGUUAUCUAUUUUACAAAAUAACUAAAUAUUAGAAUUUAGCUACCCAUUUUAGCCAAGCUCUUGGAGAUGCUCUUAGUUCCCAAAAAAUUUUACAAAAUUUUUCAAAUUUUCCGUCACAUCGAAUCUUUAAUUGCAUGUAUGGAGUAUUAAAUAUAGACGAAAAUAAAAACUAAUUGCAUAGUUUGGUCGGAAUUGAUGAGAUGAAUCUUUUGAACCUAGUUACUCCAUGAUUGGACAAUAUUUGUCACAAACAAACGAAAGUGUUAUAGUACCUGUUUAGCAAAAUUUUUUGGAACUAAAUAAGGCCUAAUUCCCGUCGCUGGCCGUGAGAAAAUGUAGCCAUCAACUCGAUCCAUCCAUCCAGACGUUUGAAUUUUUCUACACCAACUUUAAUCACUCAUUUUAUUAAAAAUUUAUGCAAAAUAUUACUAUUUCAUUUAUCGUGGCUUGGUUUAUUAAUAAAAGAUCUUUAAAAAUAAUUUAAAUUUGACUAUAUUUAUAUAAUUUUUUUUAAUAAAACGAGUGGUCAAACUUAAGAUAAAAAAAGUCAAACAUCUUAUAAUUUUAAAUAGAGAGAGUAGUUUGUUACUCAUAUUUUUAUUGUUUUUCUUAGCACUGCCUAAAACUGUCCUAGAGGCAUAUUCAAACUCUAGGCUAUGAGGUUGCAGCCCAAAUUAUUCAUAGGCAGGUCUUCCACAAUCCAUAGGAAUUCCCAACGUACAAUCCAAGAUAGCUCCUCCAACUAGCACAAGCAAUCCUUUAUUAAUUAGCUCCCUUUUGGAUAUCGUUUCUAGAUUCGCUCAUAUCUGCCUCUAAAUCCAUCCAAGUAGAGAAUAAUGUGGGAUCCACGUGUCUUCCUUUCUCCUAUGCUCAUCUCCAUGGAUGAAGUCCCUUUCUUGAACUCUUCUCCGUGGGCGGUAGCACAACACAGGGGGAUGGACGAUGCCUGGGCGUACAGGGUGGCGGGGGACCUCUUGGUUGGGUGCGCACGGGGCGACGCUGCUUAGGUGAACGGAGGCGCAUGGCGGAACCUAGGCGAGCGGAGGCGCACAGGGGCAAUAGUGGACAGACGAUGCAUGGGGCGGCGGGAUCUAAGCCAGAUGGAGCGAAGGCGCUGCCGGCGGCAGAGUGAAUGCCAGAGCCCGUGGGUAACACUGGCGACUGAGCAAACAUCGAAGACCUAGGCAAAUACCGCACUGGUGACCGAGCAAACACUGAAGGGUGCGGGAAAGGUGGGGCGAUGGAUGCCGUGGGCCGUGUGAGUCAAGCGUUGAGAGGAAAAUGUCCAAUCCAAAAUUUGCACAAUGGAGUAGGCAGCCAACAAGAGUAGGAGGUGAAGGAGGAAAGUAGGAGGCCAACAGAUCUAGGGGAUAUAGUAGAGGGCCUGCAAUAGUUGGUUUUUCUUCCUCCACUACUCAAAUCUAGAGUAGGAGCAAUGCUGGAGAUGCUCUAACGACAUGGGUAGCAUGUUAUUGUUAUCAACACAUCAUGUUACAAUAGAAAAUGGGUUGACCUAUAAAAAGAAAGGCUUUUAUCUUGAAUGAGAGGCAGCGCUCCUGUCAUGAUUUCAGAAAAAAGAAGGAAAGCCUUUGCCCUGAGACCUGUUGGAAAUCUUGAAUGCACACAGGUAGUCAGGUCACAAACUCAUACAACUCUACCCUUUUAAUGAAAAAAAUACUCGUUGGGCGUGGUCAUAAAAAAACACACAAACUCACAAUCAUUUCCAAAAAUUAAAAAAAACACUCCUAAAAAGGAUAUACAUGUUUAUUGUCUCAAAAAGAGGAUGUACAGUCUCUCGCCCAGGUCGACAUAUUCAAAUAGUUACACUUCAAACCUGGGCGCAGUCACUAAAAAAACACACACACACAACUCACAAUCCUAUUUUUUUUUUUUUAAAAAAAACCUCACACCUAAAAAGGAUGUACAAGUUUAUUGCCCUAAAAAAGAGGAUGUACAGUCUCUCGCCCAAGUCGACAGAGAUUCAAAUAGUUACACUUCACACUUGAAAAGGAUGUACAGUUUAUUGCCUUGAAAAAGAGGAUGUACAGUCUCUCAUCCAACUUAUUUCAUUUCCACAGUUUCAAAUAGUUACACUUCACACUAAUGACUAGACAUGUUAAGCCGCAGGUCUGGUUCACCAACUUAUUUCCUUUCGAGUUGUUCUUAUUGUUGUUUGACAUAUGAUACAUGAGUACAGGCAGUAAUUACAAGGAAAAAAAACUGCACCACCGUGUUCAAUGUGCCUCGGAACUUCUGAUCAAUGUCUUUGAAGGAAACACAAUUGCAGCAAUAGGUUUGUCUGCAUAACCACCACCUUCAUCGAUUAUGAAUCGGAGGCCGUCGAUGUGGAGCUUCCCGUGGUGGCCACUUACAAUGAUAGUUUGCUUGCCAGUCAGAUCCUGAAAAAACAGAUAUCCAUGACAUCAACAUUUCUGUUCAAGCUUUAUACAAUGGCGCUCAUGAGGGCAAAUGAGGUCACAGAAUGUGAUAAUGUGCACUACCCUGCAUUCAGGACAGGUCAUAUAGGUACAAUAGGUGUCAUGUGUCUGCGGUGAACAGAAAUCAUGUAUAGCACUCAUGCUUCCCUGUUUCAAGUUUCAACAAAACCAGAGAAUGGCAGAAGUAAAAAAAGACAGCUUGCAGCCAGAGGCAGACCCACACACCAGGCCAGGUUCAUCAAAUUCUAUGACAGAAGCGGAGGUUUUCAACAAAAAAUGUGCAAGUGAUCUAGUAAGAAGUACAUAGGUGUAUCAAAUUUGAAUAUCACAAUGUAAUGGUGCAAUUAGCAUUAUGGAUAACCCCUGUGUUUAGUUUUAUCUAAUAAUGAAAAUUCUGAACCUAUACCAUAUCCAGAUUGAAGUUUCCAGAGAACAUUACUAAGUGUUUCUACAUGGUGCACCCGAUUAGAUUCUACAGGGGGGCAAAUGGUAAUUCAAAAUGGCAUGACGACCAGAGUAAUGCAGACAUGCCAAUGAAUAUUGUGUUGAGAAUACUAGAGAAUAUACAGGACAUCGUAUUGGCCUGUCCUGCAGUUAAUAUGAGCACAUUUGAAACACUAGGACAGUUGUACUUGAUUUGCAGGCAUGUUAUGCUAGUUUCAUUCUGUACACAAAUAUACAAGGUUAGGCCAAAGACUGAUUCACAGUGUAAGAAAGAUAAAAGACGAGAGACCGGAACCAGUGUCUUUAAAUACUAUUUAUUCUAAAAAAACACUUAUUAUUUCAUACCUUAUCAGUUACCAAACCUAUUGUAUUUUCAAAAAAUAAUUUGUUCGCCCAAGGGAUGAUGAGACUAAAACUAAUAUAUGCACAGAUCAAUUUUCUCAAUUUCAAAAGCUGGAAAAAUGAAGCAUCGUGGAGUGGGUGGAAUCAAGAGUCAAGACUUAAGAGAGCAGGCUCGACUCAGCUCAGCAGUAAUAUAAUAUCAGCUCUGAUAACUCCAGUAAAACAAUUAGGUUUACUGCCACCAGCUCUGCUAAAAUGAUGUCACAUCAGCUCAACAACAUGAACUAACAUAUCAUGAGCUAAUAAUGAUGUGCCUAGCGCACAGUAGAUUUUAAAGGCAUGUACAGAUGCAUUCUAAAGACCAAGAUGGUCUCUUCCCUAAAUUUCAAGAUACAUAAAUAAGCAUUCGCAGAAUCAUUCUGCAGAGUAUUGUCUCACCAAGCUGGUAAAUAUAAAAAACUCAGAAACUAAGUUUCUUUUCUGGUAAACUAGAGAGAAAUAAGAUGCAGAUUUUUUUUUUCUCACCUUGGGUGUGUUCCAAACAUCUUGCCGCCCACUAAGCAUUUGAACCUUUGGCACCCUUGUGUCUCUGGUUCUCAAAACUCUAAGUUGCUCAUUCAAAUCUAUGGUCCUCUCUAGGCCAGCAUGGACGGCAAUCAGAUUGCAGAUGAUUUGUCCUUCAUCCGUAUCAAUUGGCACAUUUUCCUGUCAUAAAACCAUAACCUGAAUACCUUAGGAGCAACAACUCUUGCUUGGACACUUACAAUUUACAAAAUAACUCACCUCUUCAUGUAUCCAAACCAAGUCAUGCAGAAACCUCUUGUGCUCCUCUGGCACAGCCUUUGCGAGAUCUGUGAAGAAAUUAGAACCAACAGCAAAUUAGAAUUAGGAGAUGAUCUUGUUUAAAAUAGGGAAGUUUUUGCUGAAAAUUAGAAUUUGUUUGGUUAAUUUAUGGCAGGAGAUUACGUAUGAUUAUAUGCUUACACAAUCUAGUCAGGAGUACCAAAUUUCUUAUUUUGUAUCUUAAGUAAGAUAAAUAGUACUAGUACCUUGCUUUAUCAGUGAAUAGCUUACCAAGUUUUACUGUGUCAAGUGUUCAACAUAAAACUCCAUUGAAGGCUUGAAGCAGUCAUUUUGAUCUUGUGUAGAAAAUUUACAUUAUCUGGCUUGCUUUGUGCAACUACUGUUGGACAGCAGAUUGGCUUGCUAAGAGAGGACUCCUGAUCAGCAGCCUGCCUUCUUUCUGAUCAGGAGGGAGAAUCAAUUCAGCACCUGUUGCUUUGCAGCGUCUUUGCUCAACAGGUUUGGUUUAUAAUUUUCCAGUGGUUGGACCUCGCUGCUAUGCCAUCACACCACAACCUUCCACCAGCAGAUUCUCAAGUUGGUGGUGCAAGGCAAUGAAGGAGGUCUCGAAAGAAGGUCAAGAAAGGGCUUAUUAUCUCAUUAUUCUUGUGGGAUCGAAAAUUUGGAACCAUCGCAACAACUGUGUGUUCAAUGAGGCAAAUCCUUGUAUAUCAAUAGUGCUGCAAAUAGAGUUCAUAGUCUAUCCUUUGGUGUGCUGCUGUCAGCUGAACCAAAAUGACUCCCUGAGUUACUUGACGGGGCAUCUAUAUUCCAUUGUUUGGUGUGCUGCUGCGUGCUGGAGCAAAAGGCUCUUCCAGGAGUUACUCGCCAUGGCAUUACAUUAGACUAGCUUUUUGGUCGUCUGGUUGCUUGCUGCAUCAAGCUUGCUGAUGUUGUUACCUAUUGUGAGAGUUGUAUCUUGGGUGAGUCUUUGUAUGUUUCUCCAAUCCCCCAUUGUUCUCUCUUCUUCCUCAAUGAAAUGACUGAUUAACAAAAUCAAUUUCUCAUACUAUUGGGAAAUUGUGCAUUGAUUUAGUAAACAUGCAAAUAAGAAUUCAUAGGUUCCUUGCAUGCUCGAUUUCAGCAUUUCUUAUGGUUCAUGCAGUCUCGUGAGAGAUUGAUUAUAUAUCAACACAACAUGCCCGCAUUUUGGAAGUGCACCACAGCUCGAAUCGACAGGCAGGCUCCAUGGCAAAUUUGCAUUGUUUGAUAACUAGAGUACACAGUACACACAACCACAACUAGUACUGAGUAAGAAAGGAUGCAAGAAACCAAUUAAAGUGACGAUGAAAUUUCAUGACUGACCAGGUGAACCAUGGGCGACGCCGUAGGAUUCGAAGGUUGGCUGCGCGUCAUAGAUGGAGCCCUUGUACGGCAGCCCUUUCUUGGGGUUCCACCUCUCCUUGAUGACCCCGCCCCAGCGCCUCCCCUGCACGUGCAUGUCCUCGUAUCCCGGCCCGCGGAACCACCCCUCGUGCUCCUCGUUGUGGAUGUACUCGUCCCAGGUGGCCGAGAACGGGGAGCCGUCGGGCGGCGGCGGCAGCGCCCCGACGAACGCCGCGAAGGCGAGGUCGUGGUUGCCGCAGAGGAAGACGUGGCGCUGCCCGGGGUGGCGCGUUGGGAGCUCGAGGAGGAAGUCGAGGACCCUGCGGGUGUCCGGGCCGCGG
rnacentral:lncRNA from 1 species